AUGUUUAAUUAUUGUCUUUUGCAUUUGAAACCACAAGAAUUUGUUCACAAGUCUUAAAUAAUCAACAAAUCAUAUAACUAACUAGGCCGUGAGUCCUUUGGGAGAACGAUACUUGGUCUUACCGAGUUUAUUACUUGAUACGAUUCAGUCACACUUGCCGAGGGUUAAACAAGUUUUUGGUUCUGUUUUUCGGUGUUCAUAAAUUUUUCAUCACGCUGUCGGCGGGUCGGGUUGUUUCGGAAUGCAGCCCCAAUCGGGCGGUAACUUUCGUCCAAGGCUAAAUACUAACAAGAGACCGAUAGCGAACAAGUACCGCGGGGGAAAGAUGAAUAGGACUUUGAAAAGAGAUUCAAAGUGUGGUUGAAAUUGUCGGGAGGGAAGCGGAUGAGAGUCGACGAUGUUUCUCGGCCGGAUGUGGAACAGUCCUAACUAGUCUGCCGAUCGACUCGAGAUAUGAACGACACAGAUUGUGACGGUGGCCCAAGCCUGGGCUGUUGAAAUGCUCGUGGACACGUCAUCAUUGCGAUUGUGGACGACAACACGCGCUGUUAGGCGUGUCUCAGCACGUGCGUGCUCCAAGAGUCGGCCUGUGGGCUCCCCAUUCGUCCCGUCUUGAAACACGGACCAAGGAGUCUAACAUGUGUGCGAGUCAAUGGGUGAGUAAACCCGUAAGGUGUAAGGAAGCUGAUUGGUGGGAUCCCCUUGUGGGUUACACCACCGAACGACCCUGAUCUUCUGUGAAGGGUUCGAGUGAGAGCAUACUUGUCGGGGCCCGAAAGAUGGUGAAUUAUGCCUGAGCGGGGCGAAGCCAGAGGAAACUCUGGUGGAGGCCCGCAGCGAUACUAACGUGGCAAAUCGUUCGUCUGACUUGGGUAUAGGGGCGAAAGACUAAUCGGACCGUCUAGUAGCUGGUUCCCUCCGAUGUUUCCCUCAGGAUAGCUAGAGCUCGCGGGCAAGUUCUAUAGGGUAAAGACAAUGAUUAGAGGAAUUGGGGGCACAACGCCCUCGACCUAUUCUCAAACUUUAAAUAGGUAGGACCGUGCGACUACUCUGUUUUUGCCGUGCCACGGAGUCGAGAGCUCCAAGUGGGGCAUUUUUGGUAAGGAGAACUGGCGAUGUGGGAUGAACCGAAAGCUGGGUCACGGUGCCCAACUGCACGCUAACCUAGACCCCACAAAGGGUGUUGGUUGAUUAAGAUAGUAGGAUGGUGGUCAUGGAAGUCGAAAUCCACUAAGGAGUGUGUAACAACUCACCUUCCGAAUCAACUAGCCCCAAAAAUGGAACUCGGUCGUCGGGGCAAGGACCAAGCCCCGAUUAGUAGGAGGGUGCGGCGGUCGCUGCAAAACCCAGGGCAUGAGCUCGGGCGGAGCGGUCGUCGGUGCAGAUCUUUGGUGGUAGUAGAAAAUAUUCGAAUGAGAACUUUAAAGGCCGAAGAGGGGAAAGGUUCCAUGUGAACGACACUUGCACAUGGGUUAGUCGAUCCUAAGGGACGGGGGAAGCCCGUCUGAUAGCGCUUUUAGCACGUACUUUGACAGGGAAUCGGGGUUAAAAUUCCUGAACCGGGACGUGGCGACUGACGACAACGUUAAGGAGACCGGAGACGUCGGCGAGGGCCCUGAAAAGAGUUAUCUUUUCUGUUUAAUAGCUUGCCCACCCAGGAAACGGCUCAACCAGAGGUAGGGUCCAGCGACUGGAAGAGACCGCACAUCGCGUGGUGUCCGUUGCGCCCCCCGGCGGCCCUUGGAAAUCCAGAGGACCGAGUGGCUCCCACGCCCAGUCAUACUCAUAACCGCAUCAGGUCUCCAAGGUGAACAACCUCUGGUCGAAGGAACAAUGUAGGCAAGAGAAGUCGGCAAAAUGGAUCUGUAACCUCGGGAAAAGGAUUGGCUCUAAGGGCUGGGCACGGGGGCCCAGUCCCGAACCAGUCGUCUGUCGGUGGACUACUCGAGCUGCUCCCGCGGUGAGAUCGGGUCGUCGCGUGCCGGUCGGAGGACGGGUUGGGAACGGGCCCUUCGGGGCCUCUUCCCCAGGCGUCGAACAGUCGACUCAGAACUGGUACGGUCAAGGUGAUUCCGACUGUUUAAUUAAAAUAAAGCAUUGCGAUGGUCCCUGCGGAUGUUGAUAAGGAUAGAGAUGGAAUCAGAAAAGAACUCAAAAAGUGCAAAAGAAGAGAAGCCGUAAGUACCGCUCAGCGCCAGUUUACCGCUGAGCGGCACUCAAGAACACACGUUUCUUCGCUGAGGGGUUUAAGUGCAGCUGAGGGGAGAUUUGACUUUGCGUUGGUACCGCUGAGCGGCAGUUUACCGCUGAGCAGUGGGAUUUUGGGCUUAGGCCAACUUUUCUGUAAUAUUGCGAAUAGUAUGUAAGCUUUAGGACUUUCUAGCGUUUGUAUCUUUGGCUGGAGAAGACGCAAAACACACUUUUCACCCCUUGGGAUAGAAUUGGAGAUGGUGACGACUCUCCUCUUCUCUUUCUAGGGUUUUUCUAUCUUUCACUCUUUAAUUGUAUUUCAUCUAGUUUCACCAUGAAUAUGGUGAACUAAACUCUUCUUGUUGUUGGGGAAUCAAUGUAAUCUUUUCAAGCUCUCAUAUAUGGAAUUUUGUGUUUAAACAUAUAUCUAUGAUACAUGCUUUCUUUCAUCAUUAGUUAGGGUUUUUCUUCUUUUCACAAAGCCUCGGAGCGUCAUCUAUCAAGAAGUCAACACAUUUUGUGGCUUAUUUAAGGUGAAAUUGAAGUUUGACUUGGGUGCCAUGGUGACUCACGGCCAUGUGCUCUUUCUUUGGCCAAUUGGACUUUUAAAUUCAUUUGUUAAUUGCCAUUAUGACAAGUAAUUUGCUAGGAUUAAAUUAGGCUUGUUGGUUUCUUAUGUUUUUAAUUAAUUUAAUUAAUAGGUUGAGUUUAUGUGUUUGAGUUAGUGUUGCAUUUAAUUAUUUUUAACUGUGUUUGUUAAUUAGUUUGUAACAGUGUUUGAUGUUUGAAUGCUUUCUAAGGCUUUUAAUAGUGCUAGUUUAAUUACCAUGCUAGCUUAAAUUAGUUUGUUUGCCAUCUGUGUCUUUAUUGAGUUCUUUAAUUUUUGCCAAAACCUUUUCAAAACCCCCCCUUUCUU
rnacentral:rRNA from 1 species